GCUAACCUGGAAGGGUAUUAUAGUUUCAUUAAGCCCAUACUCCUGAUCGGUUCACAUACGCGUCAUCGCACCAGAACGCUAAGUGG